rnacentral:misc_RNA from 1 species
GCUUCAUGUUUACUAUCCAACUUCAAAUGACAGUUUGCCAACUUGACAUAAGUUGAUCCAGCUUUAUCCCAGGAUUUGGCAAGCUUGAAGGAAUUGGCAGCUUUAUCGAAGAGAUCAGCGGCAUCUUCAAAUUUGGAGCCAAAUAAGCCCCAACCGCUAAGCUUCUUCUCAGCUUUCUUCUCGAAUUCCUCUCCUCGCGCCAUCUGAUCUCCCAUUUUCAAAGCCUUUUUCUUAUAUUCAAUGAUCGGUGAAUGAGGAAUUCGAAAUGGAGAGUGUUAAGU